CCUACGGGCUGCAGCAGUGAGGAAUAUUGGUCAAUGGGCGCGAGCCUGAAGCAGCCAAGUCGCGUGCAGGAUGACUGCCCUACGGUUUGUAAACUUCUUUUUUAAAGGAAUAAAGUGAGGCACGUGUGCCUUUUUGUGUGUUCUUUAUAUAUACGGCUCGGCUAAAUGCGUGCACGCAGCCGCGGUAAUACGGAGGACCCGAGCUUUCUCCGGAUUUAUUGGGGUUAAGGCGGGCGUAGCUGGGUUGUUAAGUCAGUUGUGAAAGUUUGCGGCUCAACGGUAGAAUUGCCAUGGAUACGGGCAGUCUUGAGUACAGUUGAGGUAAGCGGAAUUCGUGGUGUAGCGGUGAAAUGUGUAGAUAUCACGAAGAACUCCGAUGGCGAAGGCAGCUUACUAAACUGCCACUGACAUUGAGGCUCGAAAGUGUGGGUAUCAAACAGGAUUAGAUACCCGAGUAGUC
rnacentral:rRNA from 1 species